CCGGCGAGUAGAAGCGUUCAGCACGGCGGGGCCACCCCUUCGCCGCCGCCCGGAAAUUGCUCGAUCC
rnacentral:ncRNA from 2 species